GCUGUGGCAGCAUGUAACAGAGUCUCUGCGGGAUGGAGACAUCGAUAAGGCUACGGAGCACAAGCGAGCCCUUGAAGAACGACAGAGGAAUGAAGAGAGGCUUCGUGCUGAAACAGAAACACCUUGGUGUACUAAAUACUUCCUUAAAGAAGGCGAUGGCUGGGUUUACCAUAAACCCCUCUGGAAAACGGUCUCCGCUGUGCAAACUCAGCAAACGGACACUAACUAAAAAAGCUGCUUUGAGAUGAGUUUUCUGAUUUUUCCUCUCCUUUUUCCCCUGUCUCUCAAAACACAGUAAUCACACCGAGUGUCCCCUUUUUAUGUAAUUGUGGAAGUUUAAAUAAGCAUAAAGAAAUAAGUAUACUAGGGCACUUUAAAGCUAUUAAAAAAAAAAAAAAAGUUGUAGAGACAAACUUGCCAGGUACAUUCAACCAACUUGUUUUUUGUAUGAUCCAAGAGAUUUUAUCUGAAUUGUGUAAGAUUCUUCUAAGUAGAUCUGAUUGCAAAAGCUGCCUAAGAGGAGAAGGAACUGUUGGAUUUUGGAGUGACAUGGGAACUUUCAGAAUCUCCGUCAAGCUCUUUAAUAACUGAAACCUGCUCAGUACCCAUGUAGACAACAGCAACCAAAAAUUGCUGCUUUUAUGCCCAGUGAUUAACCUUUCUGGCGAAAACUGGAGGGAUGUUUGGAAGAUGUGCCUGAAAUCAGUGUUAAGAAACAACUGGAUCAUGAUGACUUUUUUCUUCAGAGAGAACACGUGCAUGCAUCGGAGGAAUAUGGAAUAUGUGUAGAGACUACCUUUCUUUUUUAUGGAUUUAUAAAAGCGAUUAGAAUUGUAACCAUGGAGAAAUUUUUCCUCUGAAACGUUUUAAUAUACUUGAAAUAAUUGACUUGAAUUGGAAAAGUAAUUUGAACACUUUUCAACUCCUAAUUUUAUUAAAUCUCUUUGAGUGACUUUGACUUUUCUCAUGUUAUAAUGUAAUGAGGUUUGGCCUUUUUUCCUUCCUUCACCAUCCCUUCCCGAGGACUAAGGCUUUCAAAAUGAACAGAAAAUGUAUGAUUUUGUAUUUAAAUUUCUCUGCCCAUCUAAUCAUCUAAGAGGGGAAGUAUCAGUGUUACAAACUGUCCUUUGGAUUGUUUUGGUUUUUUCCCUGUGGUGUUAUUCAGAACAAAGCGGUGAAAUGUGACCUGUGAAUACAUCGACUGUAGGUCCUGGUUUUCCAUCUUACCAUAUAUAAAAAAAAAAAAAAAGCUGAUUAUGCUGAGGACUUGGUAUUGAUUUGAAACACAAUCAGAUAUCAGGAAACUGUAUUCAGGUACAAACAUCCUUUGUUGUUGUUUUGUUUUUUGGUUUUUUUUUAUAACUAUUUUAUUGAAGUCUAAGAAUUGCUGGCAAUUAAGAAUAGUACUUAUUAUGGCUUUCGUUAUUGUAACUACAAGCUACCUUAAUUUUUCCAACAGUGGUGCCUUACUCUGUUUUUUCUUCUGAUGUAGUCUUCCAACCAGUGUAUAUAACAUUAUCUGCCACCUCCCAGCCAUGGCAAUGGCUGCACCUGAUCCAGCAUUAUGAGAACUCACAACUGUGUGAUCCGGUAAGAUGUUUUCCACGGAGAAGAUACAAGUGUAAGAAUGCAUCAGAAGGUUUAAAUAACCAUCUUAACUUUCAACACAACUGUAAAUCGUGCAAAAAAAAAAAAAAAAAAAAGUUGGGUUUAUGCACAACUAUUUUGAUCCUCUUGUACUUUUUUUUUUUUUUUGCUGUGAAAUGCACUGAGAUCUCAAUGCGAGUCCUAGUCCGUUUGUGAGAAGUGGGGGUGGGGAUAAUAAAACUACAAAAUGAUUCAUCUGCUCUGUGUGGUUUCCUAGAGAUCAGGUGACUGGGAAGACUAGGCUGUUGUUAUCUUUGAUGCUGGAGAUCCGUCCGUCCGGGAUUUCCUUGGCCCUUUGAGCAGGAUAUUUUGGCACUGUGCACUUGAGUAGUAACUAUGCUCUCCAGCUGAAGAAUGUUUUAGGCCCUGCUGUCUUGUUUGUGAUAUUCUGUACAACCAUCCUGUUGUGUUAGUUUUGGAUAUCCAUUGGGCAUUUUCAUGUUUAACCAGGAAUAAAAAUAAAAAUGAAAACAGUGGGA